UCUACAUUAAGGUCCAAAGGGUCCAAAAUUAAACUUAGUUUGAUUUUAACAAAAAUUGAAUCUUUGGGGUUCUUUGAUAUGCUGAAUUUAAAAAUGUACUUAGAUUUUUGAUUAUUGGCCUAGUUUUCAAGUUGGUCCAAAUGGGGGUCCAAAAUUAAACUUUGUUUGAUUUCAUCAAAAAUUGAAUAAAUGGGUUCUUUGAUAUUCCAAAUCUAACUGUGUAUGUAGAUUCUUAAUUUUUGGUCCAGUUUUCAAAUUGGUCUACAUUAAGGUCCAAAGGGUCCAAAAUUAAACUAAGUUUGAUUUUAACAAAAAUUAAAUUCUUGGGCUUAUUUGAUAUGCUUUAUCUAAAUAUGUACUUUGAUUUUUGAUUAUGGGCCCAGUUUUCAAGUUGGUCCAAAAUCAGGAUUCCAUAUCAAGUAUUGUGCAAUAGCAAGAAAUUUUCAAUUGCACAGUAUUGCACAAUAGCAAGAAAUAUCUAAUUGCACAAUAUUGUGCAAUAGCAAUUAAUUUUCAAUUGGAGUUAUCUUUCUUUGUAUAGAAUAGUAGUUGAUAAUAUAUGUUGGAAAUUUUCCAGACAUGACUAUGAUGUCAUUUUCUAUUUUUAUUUGCCAAUAACUUUAUGUAAAUAACUUCAUUGGAAAUUUGCCAAUAUAAAAUGUUGCUGAUGAAGCUUUUUUUCCUUAUCUUAUCUAAAAUGUUUUUAGAUAAUGUAUGUUGGACAUUUGCCAGACAUGACUAUGAUGUCAUUUUCUAUUUUUAUUUGCCAAUAACUUUAUGUAAAUAAA
rnacentral:lncRNA from 1 species